rnacentral:sRNA from 1 species
UCGUGUGUAUCGCCUAAUCCUCAUGGAACCGGGGACCCAACGCACCUGGGGUGUAUCGGCCUUACGGCCGUAGGAGACCUCCCUCUCCGAACCCGUCAGCUAACCCGGUCGGCGAAGGGACGGAAAGG